GAUGAACGCUGGCGGCGUGCCUAAUACAUGCAAGUCGAGCGAACAGAUGAGGAGCUUGCUCCUCUGACGUUAGCGGCGGACGGGUGAGUAACACGUGGAUAACCUACCUAUAAGACUGGGAUAACUUCGGGAAACCGGAGCUAAUACCGGAUAAUAUAUUGAACCGCAUGGUUCAAUAGUGAAAGGCGGUUUUGCUGUCACUUAUAGAUGGAUCCGCGCCGCAUUAGCUAGUUGGUAAGGUAACGGCUUACCAAGGCAACGAUGCGUAGCCGACCUGAGAGGGUGAUCGGCCACGCUGGAGCUGAGACACGGUCCAGACGCCUACGGGAGGCAGCAGUAGGGAAGCUGCCGCAAUGGGCGAAAGCCUGACGGAGCAACGCCGCGUGAGUGAUGAAGGUCUUCGGAUCGUAAAACUCUGUUAUUAGGGAAGAACAAAUGUGUAAGUAACUAUGCACGUCUUGACGGUACCGAAUCAGAAAGCCACGGCUAACUACGU
rnacentral:rRNA from 1 species